ACCGAUCGGGCGGUAAGGGCUCGAAAGAGCUCGCCAUCCAUUCGAACUCCGAAUGUACAGACGCCGUAGAAGCUAGGAGGCGGGUUUAUGUGGGGUAAGCCUCAUAACCGAGAGGGGGACAACCCAGACUAAAGUUAAGGUCCCUAAAUGUCCGCUAAGUGUCAAACCAAAGGGUGUUUUCGAGCAAAGACAGCAGGAAGGUAGGCUCAG
rnacentral:rRNA from 1 species